rnacentral:rRNA from 1 species
GUGGGGAAUCUUGCGCAAUGGGCGAAAGCCUGACGCAGCCAUGCCGCGUGAAUGAUGAAGGUCUUAGGAUUGUAAAAUUCUUUCACCGGGGACGAUAAUGACGGUACCCGGAGAAGAAGCCCCGGCUAACUUCGUGCCAGCAGCCGCGGUAAUACGAAGGGGGCUAGCGUUGCUCGGAAUUACUGGGCGUAAAGGGCGCGUAGGCGGAUCGUUAAGUCAGAGGUGAAAUCCCAGGGCUCAACCCUGGAACUGCCUUUGAUACUGGCGAUCUUGAGUAUGAGAGAGGUAUGUGGAACUCCGAGUGUAGAGGUGAAAUUCGUAGAUAUUCGGAAGAACACCAGUGGCGAAGGCGACAUACUGGCUCAUUACUGACGCUGAGGCGCGAAAGCGUGGGGAGCAAACAGGAUUAGAUACCCCGGUAGUCC